UACAGCCAUAUCACUUUGAAAUACCAGUUCUCAUACAAUCCCCAAAGUUAAGCAACAUUCAGCCUGGUCAGUACCUAGAUGGGUGACUGCUUGGGAAUAGCAGGUGCUGUAAG
rnacentral:rRNA from 1 species